GGGUGGUGGCUGGGGCCAGGCGCUUGUGCCAAGACACCCAGGUGAACAAGAUCAUACACCGUUCCACAAGAAGAAGAAUCUGCAGGCCGAAGACAUCGUUUACGAGCGGGCAAAAAGACUAUCUCUCCUUUCUAUCGGAAAGUCCUGAACAUCCAAAGAUUCUUGAGUUAUUAAGUAUGAACUUUAUGCACAUAUCAUGAAGAAACCACCUUUUAACCAACUGAAGGGUACACGAGCUCAUAAACUGCGUAACAGAAAUACUCUUUCGAUUGCAUUAGGCUGUUUUGGUUUAGCAAUACUUUCUCACUUUAUUCUGAUAAAAUUUGCAAAAAAUCCAGGAGAAAAAUUCACGCCAUAUAUUGAUUCUUUUCUGGAUCCAAGAAAGAAAAGAAGACUCGAUGAACCCAUUGUAACAAUAAAAGAGGAUAUAUGAAAAAAUUAUUGUGUUAUUUAUGUUUAUGUAGAUAAAUUGUUAAUCUUUUUUUGUAAAAAUGUUCUCUGUAUACUUGGUUUCAAGUAUUGUUAAAAUCUGUGGUUCAUUCACGAAUAAAAAUUGAAGCCAAUGCGGGUUA